GUGGGGAAUCUUCCGCAAUGGACGAAAGUCUGACGGAGCAACGCCGCGUGAACGAUGACGGCCUUCGGGUUGUAAAGUUCUGUUAUACGGGACGAAUGGCGUAACGGUCAAUACCCGUUACGAGUGACGGUACCGUAAGAGAAAGCCACGGCUAACUACGUGCCAGCAGCCGCGGUAAUACGUAGGUGGCAAGCGUUGUCCGGAAUUAUUGGGCGUAAAGGGCGCGCAGGCGGUCUGGUAAGUCGGUCUUAAAAGUGCGGGGCUUAACCCCGUGAGGGGACCGAAACUGCCAGACUAGAGUAUCGGAGAGGAAAGCGGAAUUCCUAGUGUAGCGGUGAAAUGCGUAGAUAUUAGGAGGAACACCAGUGGCGAAAGCGGCUUUCUGGACGACAACUGACGCUGAGGCGCGAAAGCCAGGGGAGCAAACGGGAUUAGAAACCCUAGUAGUCC
rnacentral:rRNA from 1 species